rnacentral:rRNA from 1 species
AGGAUUAACGCUGGCGGCGUGCCUAACACAUGCAAGUCGAACGAGGUAGCAAUACCUAGUGGCAGACGGGUGAGUAGCGCGUGGUCAACCUACCGUUGAGUGGGGGAUAACUAGCCGAAAGGUUAGCUAAUACCGCAUACGUCUCCGAGGGGCAUCCCUUGGUGAUAAAAGGAGCAAUCCGCUCGAUGACGGGACCGCGUCCCAUUAGCUAGUUGGUGGGGUAACGGCCUACCAAGGCAUCGAUGGGUAGCUGGUUUGAGAGAGCGACCAGCCACACUGGGACUGAGAUACGGCCCAGACUCCUACGGGAGGCAGCAGUGAGGAAUUUUCCGCAAUGGGCGAAAGCCUGACGGAGCGACGCCGCGUGUGGGAAGAAGGCCUUCGGGUCGUAACCACUGUCGAAGGGGAAGAUAAUGACGGUACCCUUGGAGGAAGCCCCGGCUAACUACGUGCCAGCAGCCGC